AGUCGAACGAGCGAGAGAGAGCUUGCUUUCUCAAGCGAGUGGCGAACGGGUGAGUAACGCGUGAGGAACCUGCCUCAAAGAGGGGGACAACAGUUGGAAACGACUGCUAAUACCGCAUAAGCCCACGACCCGGCAUCGGGUAGAGGGAAAAGGAGCAAUCCGCUUUGAGAUGGCCUCGCGUCCGAUUAGCUAGUUGGUGAGGUAAUGGCCCACCAAGGCGACGAUCGGUAGCCGGACUGAGAGGUUGAACGGCCACAUUGGGACUGAGACACGGCCCAGACUCCUACGGGAGGCAGCAGUGGGGAAUAUUGCACAAUGGGGGAAACCCUGAUGCAGCGACGCCGCGUGGAGGAAGAAGGUCUUCGGAUUGUAAACUCCUGUUGUUGAGGAAGAUAAUGACGGUACUCAACAAGGAAGUGACGGCUAACUACGUGCCAGCAGCCGCGGUAAAACGUAGGUCACAAGCGUUGUCCGGAAUUACUGGGUGUAAAGGGAGCGCAGGCGGGAAGACAAGUUGGAAGUGAAAUCCAUGGGCUCAACCCAUGAACUGCUUUCAAAACUGUUUUUCUUGAGUAGUGCAGAGGUAGGCGGAAUUCCCGGUGUAGCGGUGGAAUGCGUAGAUAUCGGGAGGAACACCAGUGGCGAAGGCGGCCUACUGGGCACCAACUGACGCUGAGGCUCGAAAGUGUGGGUAGCAAACAGGAUUAGAUACCCUGGUAGUCCACACUGUAAACGAUGAUUACUAGGUGUUGGAGGAUUGACCCCUUCAGUGCCGCAGUUAACACAAUAAGUAAUCCACCUGGGGAGUACGACCGCAAGGUUGAAACUCAAAGGAAUUGACGGGGGCCCGCACAAGCAGUGGAGUAUGUGGUUUAAUU
rnacentral:rRNA from 1 species